CUGUGAAUUUUAUUGCUGUUCUGAAUUAGUCAAAAUCAUGACAGGCUAUACAUUUGCUAUAUUAAGACCAUGCAUGUUCAGUCCUAGUUCUUUACCCACAUAGGUCUGGUCUUAGAAAUACUGUUGAUAAGU